rnacentral:rRNA from 1 species
UGGGGAAUCUUGCACAAUGGGGGCAACCCUGAUGCAGCGACGCCGCGUGAGCGAUGAAGCCCUUCGGGGCGUAAAGCUCUUUCGACCGGAACGAUAAUGACGGUACCGGGAGAAGAAGCUGCGGCUAACUACGUGCCAGCAGCCGCGGUAAUACGUAGGCAGCAAGCGUUGUUCGGAGUUACUGGGCGUAAAGAGUGCGUAGGCGGUUUUCUAAGUUCGGUGUGAAAUCUCCCGGCUUAACUGGGAGGGUGCGCCGAAGACUGGGAAGCUGGAGUGUGGGAAAGGCAGGCGGAAUUCCUGGUGUAGCGGUGAAAUGCGUAGAUAUUAGGAGGAACACCGGCGGUGUAGACGGCUUGCUAGACCAUAACUGACGCUGAGGCACGAAAGCGUGGGUAGCAAACA